UACGGAGGGGGCCAGCGUUGUUCGGAAUUACUGGGCGUAAAGCGUGCGCAGGCGGUGAUGUAAGACAGGUGUGAAAUUCCCGGGCUUAACCUGGGAACUGCAUUUGUGACUGCAUCGCUGGAGUGCGGCAGAGGGGGAUGGAAUUCCGCGUGUAGCAGUGAAAUGCGUAGAUAUGCGGAGGAACACCGAUGGCGAAGGCAAUCCCCUGGGCCUGCACUGACGCUCAUGCACGAAAGCGUGGGGAGCAAACAGG
rnacentral:rRNA from 1 species